CAAAAUCAAGAAUGGUCCAAACUCCUCCAAAUCGACUCUCAAUUUCUCUAUCCUCAUUCCCAAACCCAAAAGCUUAAAGCCUGACGCAAACCCUUUUCCUCCCUUCCUAAUUCCGUUCAACUGCUUGCCAGCCAACAACGUGUACUUUUGGUUCUACUUCUGCCACGUCCAACUUCCGUUCUCGGUUCUCGUUCUAGGCAGCAAGGGUGAAGAAAAUUCGAGCUUGACUUACGACUAGCAGCCUGCAGCCUUCGGCUUCGCCUGUUGAGUGGUGACUAUUUCCACUUGACUAGUUGAUUUGAUUUGAUUUUUUUUGGGUUUUGUUUUUGUUCUAUUUUGUUAACUAUUUCUACUUGACUUCUUGUUGUUGAAUAAUGAAUGUUGUUGUCAUCUGUAAAUUGUGUUAAUUGUUAAUUUGUUAUUAGUCUUAUAAAUAAUGAGUUAUGAGUUAUGAUUUAUGUUUAGUAACUUGUAAGUUAGUCUCGAGAAUUGUGAUUGUGAUUUAUGAUAAGUAAUUUAUGUUUAAUAAGUUAUGAUUACUAAUCUGGGAAUUUAUGUUUAGGAAAUUGAGAUAAUUGAAAAUAUUUGAUUGAGAAGAUGUUGCGUUCAAUUCAACCUGUGUGUACUCGGUACUCUUUUUUUAAUCAAUUCUAACUGAAAAAUAAAUUGGGACAUUUUGCAGGUUAUGGAACGAUUUUUUCAACCGAAACGAAAAUUCAUACCUAAUUCGUCUAGUUCUAGUUAUGGGUCUAGCAUCAUUUAAUCAAAUCUUAAAUGAUCGAGCUAUUACGAUCGUUGAUUGUUGAUGGUCAAUGGUAAACUAUCAAAAGUCAAACUCCACCCUGGCUAAAUUUAUUUGCUGGAUUCGCCUUUGCUUCAUACUUGCACAAACAAAACGUAUGCAAUAUCAUAAAAUAUAGUAAAAAUUUG
rnacentral:lncRNA from 1 species